rnacentral:rRNA from 1 species
GAUGAACGCUGGCGGCGUGCCUAAUACAUGCAAGUAGAACGCUGAAGGAGGAGCUUGCUCUUCUGGAUGAGUUGCGAACGGGUGAGUAACGCGUAGGUAACCUGCCUGGUAGCGGGGGAUAACUAUUGGAAACGAUAGCUAAUACCGCAUGACAACAGUUAUUGCAUGAUAACUGUUUAAAAGGGGCAACUGCUCCACUACCAGAUGGACCUGCGUUGUAUUAGCUAGUUGGUGAGGUAACGGCUCACCAAGGCGACGAUACAUAGCCGACCUGAGAGGGUGAUCGGCCACACUGGGACUGAGACACGGCCCAGACUCCUACGGGAGGCAGCAGUAGGGAAUCUUCGGCAAUGGACGGAAGUCUGACCGAGCAACGCCGCGUGAGUGAAGAAGGUUUUCGGAUCGUAAAGCUCUGUUGUAAGAGAAGAACGAGUGUGAGAGUGGAAAGUUCACACUGUGACGGUAUCUUACCAGAAAGGGACAGCUAACUACGUG